rnacentral:rRNA from 1 species
CAGCCGCCGCGGGAAUACGGAGGGCGCGAGCGUUACCCGGAUUUACUGGGCGUAAAGCGUGCGUAGGCGGUUCGUUAAGUCUGUUGUGAAAGCCCCGGGCUCAACCUGGGAAUGGCAAUGGAUACUGGCGAGCUAGAGUGUGUCAGAGGAUGGUGGAAUUCCCGGUGUAGCGGUGAAAUGCGUAGAGAUCGGGAGGAACAUCAGUGGCGAAGGCGGCCAUCUGGGACAACACUGACGCUGAGGCACGAAAGCGUGGGGAGCAAACAGGAUUAGAUACCCGCGUAGUCCCUGUCUCUUAUAC